CUGGGAAUUUUUCCUAGGAUUAAAUGUCAGGAAUUGUGAAAAACUGAGUUUAAAUGUAUUUGGCUAAAGUGUUUGUAAACUUCCGACUUCAACUGUAUGUACUUGUGAACGACCAGUCCAGAAAUAGCCAAAGUAACAGUACUAUCUGUGAGACCUCAUUAGAGACAAUGUACCAUGUCAAUACAUCAUGAAUAGGCAUUUCACAUGCAGGUGCAGAGUAAGCAACACAAGCACAUGCACAUACAGAAUAGGACACUAGGCAGUAAUUUUAUAUGUCCAUUAACACAUACUUAGAUAUUUUUUUAAGCAAGUCACUGAUGUUGAAACAUGGCAUUUUUAUUCAGAUUUAUUUUUUUUUUUUGGGGGGGGGUUCUCAUUGCAAUGUUUAUAUAUGUUAUUCUAACAAACCCCACACAAUUUAAAAUGUGGGUAAAAUAAACACAUUCUUAGCAUAGCCAGUACAUUCCUACAAUGUUUUUUUCAUUGGGUCGUAUUGUGUACGACCCAAUGUGGUCAUGCUUUAAAUGAUGUGUCAAACAUGACUUAACCCAUUAUGUCAAAUAUGACAUAAAUCUGUGCUUUAUAAAGGGUGGCAUAAGCACCUCUUAAUAAAGGCCAUAUAAGUAAUUCAAUUGAGUCUGCACAAAUAGGAUUUAUAACCCUGUCAUACAUCUUGGUAGAGCGUUGCAACGCCAGGAUAUUGGGUUCGAUUCCCUAAUCUAUGGAUUUCACAUGACUGGGCAGGGGUGCAGUCAUAGGCUGGUAGCCAGGCCCUGCCAAUCAGACAGAAAUACUCCUGUUUCAUCAACUUUCCGGGUGGCUGGUUUCAGAUGAUCCCGCAGGUGAAGAAGCCGGAUGUGAAGAGGCUGGCGUGGUUACACGUGGUCUGUGGUUGUGAGGCCGGUUGGACAUACUGCCAAAUUCUUUAAAGUAGAUUCUUCUACUUUGAAGAAUCUAAAAUCGAAAUAUAUUUUGAUUUGUUUAACACUUUCUUGGUUACUACGUGAUUCCAUAUGUAUUAUUUCAUAGUUUUGAUGUCUUCACUAUUAUUCUACAAUGUAGAAAAUAGUUUAAAAAAUAAAGAAAAACCCUGGAAUGAGUAGGUGUGUCCAAACUAUAUUAUAUUUCACUAAAACUUUCCCUCUUAGGUGCAUAGUGAAUAUUGGACCUGACCUCAACUUCCCCCAAAAUGCUGUGCUGCAGGAUGACACACAUACGAAUGUAAAGUCAUUCACAGCAAACAAUGUUGGUAGAGCCUUUUUAAAUCUUAUUUUUUGCCUACUUCAGUUUUAUUUUUUUGUAUUACGUUUUCUUGGUUUUGUUUUUCCAGGUUUCGGAUUUCCCAAUUUUUUCUCUGUGUUCAUAACUUUGAUUAAUUAAACCACAUCAGGGGAUGACUUUUGAGGUCUUGGAAAAAUCUAAGAAACUGUGUAAUUGCCCUUUAAUUCAGUGAGCAUGCCCUGCACUGUUGUUUUGUUAGCAGGUUUUCUGUAGUGCAGUAAGGGCACAUGUGAUGUGAUUCGGCUGCCAAUAGAAUAGGGGAGUAAAUCAAAAGCCCACUUGUGCUGCCACUGUACAGCGAAAAAUGAGUUGGAACCAACAUGGAGUACCUCCAGUAGGAAGAGGCAAGAACCAUUCGUCUGCCAGCUCAGGGACAAGCUACACUAUUCACAGCAAUUACAUUGUAAUGUUCAGUGUAAUUGCAUUGCUGGACUUUUUGAAAAUUCAUGUAUUUGUAUUGCUUAAAAAAUGUAUAAAUUAAAGGAAAUGUAUGGUUUAAACAGGUGUUUAAUGUUUACUUGUUUUAGCUGUUAGUGAUAAUUCCCAGCGUUAAUACAUUUGCGUUUACAUCAUUAAGCCUUUAUGUAUCUGUUAUGAUCAAAGGGGUCUGACUUUAUAGUAAGCAGAGCCUCAUAGGAUACACGGCAUUUAUGUAUGUGUUAUAAAUUACCAAAGGGGUCUGACUUUAAAUUAAGUACAGCGAUAUUGUCUUUAUGGAUGUGUUAUGAAUGUCCGAAUGGUGUCCCACUUCAAACUAAGUAUUACAGGACAACAGUGUCAAUAAAUAUGUUAACGUUCUGCUGA